GAUUAGUCCCAAUUAAAUCUAUAACAGUUUAGGGUUCUCUUCCCCUUUUCAUUAUCUACCGCCUCUCUCUAUGUUACUGUUCUCUAAAGCUCUUUAAAAAAUGGCGAUUGACUGAAGAACUCGAUAUUUCGAGUCAGUUUCAUCGUAAAUUGAUCCUUCUAAGAUUACAUAGUUCAUUUGUAUGAUCUUAUUUAACUUCAAUGGCGUUUUAGUGAAGAUUUUCGAGUCAAAACGUUGGUUUUCAAACAAGAGAAACAAGAGAUUGGGUUUUUCUGCAGUUGGUGAUUGAUUGAGAGCUAAGUGCAGAGAGAAUUUGAAGUUAGGGUUGUGAUAUGAUGCUAACUGAAUUGAGACAAAGAUGGAGAUAGUGAUUGAAGUCAGAUCGAGAAGAAGAUGGUAGAGAAAUUGAUGUCCGUGUUUUGAAGAUGUUGAUGGAGCUGGAUAUGGACCAAGCUGUUAGGUUCUGUUGCUGCUGCUGUGGUGGUCGGUAAUGUGACCAAAUGGUUUUGUUGGUUUAAGAUGUUGCAGCUGGGUUGCUGCUGAAGACGAGUACAGUGGAUUGUUAGUUGAAGAAGUCCAUCAAAAAUUUGGUUAAUGAAUACAGCAAAUUAUCUAUCUUAUAUGAAAUGUUUGAAUUUGAGAGUAAUGUUAAAUUUUUGUUGUAUCGCAAAUUAUUUAUCUUAUAUAUUAAUUUCUCCCAACUUCCUUUGCAGGUUUCAAAGACCUCAAGGUGCAGUAUCAUCUUCCAUGCUAGGUCUAGAGGCAGUCAAUGGUAGCCUGGAUGACUUCAGUUUCGAAGAUUUCCAUUGCCUAAAUGAAUGAUCCACAUGAGUUUGAAACUUAAAGGGAAGUUUACAUGCAUCAUGGGUUGUUCACAGAAAAAGGAAUUUGAGAAGGAGAUGAGACUGGUAGUGUUGAUGCGAUGGGUUGUUGUUGAAGAAGAAGUUUUUACUGCAGUGGAUGUGUGCGGUUUUAGAUGGCUCAAAUGUUGUGGUUUGAGAAUGUGCAGGGGAUUGAAACUGCAAGGAAGGAAAUUAUGGAGCUGACUUGAAUCUGGUGAUGGAGUUGAAAUACAGCUGAAGGUGGAGCAAGAUGAAUGGGUUCUGGACAGGGUUUGAUGGAAUUGAUUUGAUGUUGUUGGUGAUUGAAGUUAGCUGCACUAGUGAUGUCUGAAACAGAUAUGAAUAGUUAUUGUAGUUGCAGCUAAAAGCAUUUCAGGUGUUGAGCUGAAGCUGGUGGUAGUAUGUAGAGAUGAGUGAUGUGUUGUAGUUGAGGACAAGAACAAGGUCUGGAUUGCAGUGGUGUGAUGAUUGUAGCUGAGUUGAAGUCUUAAUGCAUCUAAGCUUGAUGUUGCUAUGAGGUGGAAGUGUUGUUUUAGUGAGAUGCGGUAUGUUUGAAAUGGAUGUGCUGUUUACUGGUAUAUGGAAGAGAGAUAUAGAGCAGCAGAUUUUCUUAAGUGUGCCACGUCAGCGAGAUGUCCACCCCGUCAGCCAUGGGUUAACUGCGGUUAACAUUUUCUUAACAUUUGCUUGAGUUAAGAGCGAGGGCAUUUUGGGGACAGUUAACCCCGUUUUCUUGAAAAACUAUUACGUCGCCCAAUGUAUGAUCAUUUUGUAAGCAAAUUUCAAAAGUAUGAUCAUUUUGUAAUUGAAUUACAAAAAGUAUGACCAUUUUGUAAAUGUAUGAUCAUUUUGUAAGCAAAUUUCAAAAGUAUGAUCAUUUUGUAACUGAAUUACAGAAAGUAUGACCAUUUUGA